GCGGCAAUAGCUUAAAGGCAUAGCGCUCGGCUUACCAGCUGGGAGAUGGCGUUCGAUUCGACCUUGCCGCU
rnacentral:tRNA from 1 species